AACUGAUACUACCUGCGGGAACCUGCGGAAGGAUCAUUACAGUGCUCGUCGGGACGCCGCGCCUCCGGGUGUCGGUGUCUCGCACCUGCCCCACCCGUGUCUACCUUUCCUUCUGUUGCUUCGGCGGGCCCGUUCCGGGGCGUACCCACGUGUCGGGUAUGUCUGGGGGCGGACCGGGGGUUUUAUUACCCUUGGCCAGCGCCCGUCAGAGGACCCUUUGAACCCUUUGUGAAUACACGG
rnacentral:misc_RNA from 1 species